ACCCAGAGGGCACGGGCUGGAGCCGUGAGGAACCAGCAGCCUCGACUGCAUUCUGACAUGGAAGAUGGGGCUUGGGAGAUGGGCCGAAUGCUUAACUCACCCCGAGAGAACUUGAGCUCUGUCCAGAGGUGAAGAGACACCUCUACAAAAGGCUCCGUGGCCGCCUGCACACUGUGGAGCUUGCUGCUGAACAGAAAUGAAGCACUGAGACAGCAGCAGUGCGUCAGGGCAAAAUGGAAUUUGCAAGACUAAAGUUUACACGAGGCAACAACAAAAUCUACUGUGCCAUUCUGUGAGAAAACAAAGUUGAAAGAGAGAGUCUGCAAGCAAUCUCUUCCUGAGAGCCACAAGGGAGAGAGUGGGCUUGAGCUUCAAUGAUGAAUUAAGGCAGGAGAAAUAAGGAAUCCAGACUGUGCCACAUGGCCUGCAGAGGACUGAGCUGAAGUUGUGCUGGUAACCUUUGUCCUGGCAGUCUGGGGGCUGGUUCUGUUUCUUCACUGUAAGUGUAACAUUGUACCUUGUUCAUGACACUUUGCAAUAGUCAUAGUUAAACAAACAGUGCAGUUCAACGAGUGCUGUGUUAGUCUGGAGUAAAUGCUUGCUUUUUUACCUCAAAACCUGGUUGGCCAGACCACACCAGGGGAAGCUGCUCCUGCAGGAAAGUCAAAGACCUUCAUUACCUGGUGUGCUGUGCCUUAAGCAUCAUUGCCAGUGGCAGGAUGUUGGAGUUCUUCUGCCUGUGUCACUGACUCAACAAGGGCCUGAUGUGUUUACUCCUGCUCAAAGAGGAGCCCAGCUUCUUAGCAUGGUUACAGCAGCAGUACAAAUAAGGGUAAGCCACUGAGUUAACACUACCUUGGUCAAGUUACUUCACCUCUUUGUGACUUGGGGUGUACAGGAUGAUCAUUACUGUGAACUUAGUCUCUGGUGCUCCAGGGUUUAACCAAACACACUGAAACAGCUGAAGAAAAGAGGUGAAACAAGCACUGCUCCAGUGCUUUAUGGUGUAAUGUUGGACAUGACACUCAGGUCAAGGUCUUCAAACUAGGAUGAGACUGAGAAAAAUGUUGCUUUUGGUGCUGGAGAGAGAUCUGUAGCGUGUCA